ACGAACGCUGGCGGCGUGCUUAACCCAUGCAAGUCGAACGGUGAAGCGCCUUCCUUUUUGGUGGGUGUGGAUGAGUGGCGAACGGGUGAGUAACACGUGAGUAACCUGCCCCCUUCUUCUGGAUAACCGCAUGAAAGUGUGGCUAAUACGGGAUAUUCUGGGUCUGUCGCAUGAUGGGUCUGGGAAAGAUAUUGUUUCGGUGGGGGAUGGGCUCGCGGCCUAUCAGCUUGUUGGUGGGGUGAUGGCCUACCAAGGCGGUGACGGGUAGCCGGCCUGAGAGGGUGGACGGUCACACUGGGACUGAGACACGGCCCAGACUCCUACGGGAGGCAGCAGUGGGGAAUAUUGCACAAUGGGCGCAAGCCUGAUGCAGCGACGCCGCGUGAGGGAUGGAGGCCUGCGGGUUGUGAACCUCUUUCGCCAGUGAAGCAGGCCUGCCUCGUUUGUGGGUGGGUUGACGGUAGCUGGAUAAGAAGCGCCGGCUAACUACGUG
rnacentral:rRNA from 1 species